rnacentral:lncRNA from 1 species
GGAGAAUCCAGCGAGGAUGACAAGUCUGAGCAGCAGUUCUCAUAGAAAGUACAAAUUCAGGUGCAUUGUACUGCAGCCAGUUUGGUGUGGAGGAAGCUGCACUGAAAGCACGGAGGAAGACAUGCAAGUCAGAAAUGCAGUAAACAAUGAGCCAUCAACAGAGCAUUGGUUCAGGUUUGAAAGAGAACUGCAGAGUUCCAGUCAGAAAUAACAGAAGGAAGGAAAUAGAAGACUGUAGAAAGAGAAAGCAAGAAUAAAUUCAAAUAACAUAAUACUGAAAACA